AUUUCAUGUGGGCCUGGAUGGCUUAGGAGGGUUUGGAAAGCUGGAAAGGAACAAGAGCUCUGAUUUGUUCCCCAGAAGUUGGUGCGGCCCCACAGGAGUCCCUGGUCUAGUCAGCACUGAUUCCUUCACCAUCGUCUACACAACGACCAACCUCAUAUACUGAGUGAUUACUAUGUGCCAGGCAUCCUGUCAAGAGCUUCACACACAUUAUCUCAUUUAAUCAUCACACCAACCCUGUGACAUAGGGACUCGUAUCCCCAUUUGACUAAUGAGGAAACUGAAGCUCAGAGAGAUGAAGUCACCUAAGUUCUCACAGCUUGAAAAUGAAGGUGUCAGAAUUUGAAACCCAGGCAGUCUGACUCCUGAGCCCACAUCCUAACUAUCACACUCUAGUGUUCCAUUAUAAAAUUCCAGAGGGAGUCCUUAUUUGCCUUGUGGUCUUGGCAGACAAAUGCUGACAAAUAAGCUGUCACUAAUAUGGAGCCCUGACUUUCUGGGUGGCUCAUGUUGCAUGAAGGGGGCCAUCAACAGGAUUAGGGAAUCAUCUUGGUGGUCUGUAUAGGGGGCCCAAGACCUUUGCUGGCAGAGAGGGCCUAGAAUCUCUCCCUUGAACCAGACAGAUCUCAGUGUGUACCAUCUCUCUGCUGAGCCCACCCGAGGCCACCUGUUCUGGGAAUUGGCUCAGAUCACAUACACAGAUGAUAGACACUGGGGUUCUUCCACAGGGUAGUGAGUGCAAUCUGCUGUGGUUGCCCCCCUGGAGGUGACCGGGGAGUUUCAGGACCAGGACCAGCUGCAAGGAGGCCCCAGAGUCUUCUGGAUUCAUCCAGACCAGGCCAGGGCUGGUGAUUUAAUAAGGCUUCAUCUUCACGCAAAUGAGCUUGCACUAGUCAGAUGCUGGAAACAGGACUAAGUCAGGACUCCCAAGGCUUGAGGGUUGUUGGAGCAGAUGAGCUCCAGCUUUAGAUUUGGGCAGUCUUAAGUUUCCAUCUCUGCCGUGCCACUUACUAGCUGUGGGACCCCAGGCAGAUUGCUGACCCUCUCUGAGCCUCAGUCUCCCCAUAGGUUAAAUGGAUGUCAUACGCAGGCCUGCCCUGCUCUGUUGGAGUGCAGUCGAGAUGAA
rnacentral:lncRNA from 10 species